rnacentral:rRNA from 1 species
GGGACAACAUUCCGAAAGGAGUGCUAAUACCGGAUGUGAUCAUCGUGCCGCAUGGCAGGAUGAAGAAAGAUGGCCUCUACAAGUAAGCUAUCGCUAAAGGAUGGGCCUGCGUCUGAUUAGCUAGUUGGUAGUGUAACGGACUACCAAGGCGAUGAUCAGUAGCCGGUCUGAGAGGAUGAACGGCCACAUUGGGACUGAGACACGGCCCAAACUCCUACGGGAGGCAGCAGUGGGGAAUCUUCCGCAAUGGACGAAAGUCUGACGGAGCAACGCCGCGUGAGUGAUGAAGGAUUUCGGUCUGUAAAGCUCUGUUGUUUAUGACGAACGUGCAGUGUGUGAACAAUGCAUUGCAAUGACGGUAGUAAACGAGGAAGCCACGGCUAACUACGUGCCAGCAGCCGCGGUAAUACGUAGGUGGCGAGCGUUGUCCGGAAUUAUUGGGCGUAAAGAGCAUGUAGGCGGCUUAAUAAGUCGAGCGUGAAAAUGCGGGGCUCAACCCCGUAUGGCGCUGGAAACUGUUAGGCUUGAGUGCAGGAGAGGAAAGGGGAAUUCCCAGUGUAGCGGUGAAAUGCGUAGAUAUUGGGAGGAACACCAGUGGCGAAGGCGCCUUUCUGGACUGUGUCUGACGCUGAGAUGCGAAAGCCAGGGUAGCGAACGGGAUUAGAUACCCCGGUAGUC